AGCAUGAUGUAUUUCUGAUAUCAGGAAAUGCGAUGCAUUUUAAUUCUUCUGGUACCAUUUUCUUUAGACAGGCUCAUGCAAUACAUAAACUAGCGAAGAGGGUUUUCCAUGUACUGAGAAGCAAUCCAGAAAACUUUGAGUCAGAAUUCUCAGGGACAAGGAGAAGAUCUUGCAGAAGAUCCCAGGAUGAGUUCAACAGCAAAUCAUUCUCAAAAACUUCAGAAAAUACUAGAGGCAGUCGAGAUGGUAACAGAUGUGAUUCCGUUGAAGCAGAUCGACGAUCCACUUACAAACCCCACCUGGACAUGAUCAACGAAGACAAGUUUCCAAAAUCCUUAGUCUAUGUAAUUAGUUCAUGACUCAUAGAUAUAUUUUUAUGAUACUAAUUCCUGUUGAUAUAUGAUCAUUAUAUUAUUAUAAGUUGAAAUGAUCAUAUUAUCAUAUAUAUAUGUUGUCCUUUUAAUUUGUAGUUAAACCACCACCACCACCAGGAGCAUGGCUACCGGAAAAGCCUAAUGCAGUUUGUGAAAGACUUAGGUCCGACUGCCCAAAUGGUGGCCAAACGAAAGCUCCAGAGCUUGUUUGGAGAUGAUGCCUCCGUCUCUCAUGAUCAUCAAACAACAAGACAAGAUCCUCAAAUCCCAUUAACUGGUCAAACAAAGAAUUGGAUCUUGUUUGGUUCUUGUCAUUCUGUCUUGAAUGAUGGAAAACAAGAUUCCUCGAUGAAAACAGACACUCAGAACCGAAUCAACUUGAGUAGAGAUCAAGAUUCCUCUCUGUUGAGUACUUCCCAAGUUCUAACGAUGACAAAUGGUAGAGAUUGGCAUGAAAGCACGUCAACAAGGGGGUUAUUCAACAGGCCAUUGAUGCCUUAUGCGCCGUUGGAUUUAGGGUUCUUGAAAUCAAAGAUGCGUGGGGAAGAUGAGUGGCGGAGGAGAAUCUGAUCGUGUAGAUGAAACGUACCCUGUUGCUAAUUGCAAUAAUUGAUAUUUAGUGAUUUGACUAUCUAAAAUCCAGUUGUAGCAGCGUUCUUUCUUUUCAAUACAA